UACGUAGGUGGCAAGCGUUGUCCGGAUUUACUGGGCGUAAAGCGUGUGUAGGCGGACUUUUAAGUAAGAAGUGAAAGGUUGGUGCUCAACACUAACACUGCUCCUUAUACUGGAAGUCUUGAGGGCCGGAGAGGAAAGCGGAACGAAUCGUGUAGCGGUGAAAUGCGUUGAUAUGAACUCGGAACACCAAUUGCGAAGGCAGCUUUCUGGACGGUAAGCAAUUUUAAAUCUGACGCUGAGACACGAAAGCCGAGGGAGCGAACAGG
rnacentral:rRNA from 1 species